UCUACACUCCAGUCCAGUUGUUGGUGGUAAUGCAUCUUAAAGUUGGUGGCCUACUGCUAUAUAAAGUACGAAGAAGCCUGAAGGAGGAGAGAUUACUAGAAAACAAACGUUUACCUGUGGAUUAAUUGUCGGAGUAGAAGACUUUGUGCAUUUCAGGUAAAUGGUAAUAUGCUCUAAACCGCUCUGGUGACAAACUUUGCUGCCUUGUUUCCAAUCGUCCACAUGGCUGCGAGAACCUAUUCAAGUAAGUAAAUCCAUUUCAAGUGUAAACUAUAUUAUUAGCUACAGUGCAGUCUAACUCAAAUGAGCUGCUAACGUAACUAGCUAGCUAUCUAGCCAACUUUACACUGCAAGGUUUGGUGACCAGGGCCAUCUGGGACUGCCUCCUGAGGGCCUUCAGGCGUGUCAAGGCUACCUGUGUCCUGCAUAACUUAAUGGACACGAGGACCAGGAGGGGGAUCUACAGCUUGCCGCCGUGUGCCAGAGGAGAGGUCUACAGGAUGCUUCAAGGAUGGGGGCAAACAACUCAGCACAGGAGGCAAUCCAUGUGCGGGAGAUCUUCACCACCUUCAAAGAGGGUGCUGUUCCCUGUCAACACCAUAGACUACACUAUGCACAACCAAAUGCUCUUAAGAGCCAUCCACAUUGCAAUAAGAGUAUUCUUCCAUUUACUUAGCUAUGUCAACUGCAGUUAUUCAAUUCCAGGUUUUUUUCCUUUUGAUUUCUACUUCAGGUGAGGGUGCUGCCUGUACAAAAACAAAAAAGGCUCUUUCAAGAGUCGCCCAUAUUGAGAACAAUUACACACAUCUCUCGUCUCCAGGUAGGUUCUGAUGUGAGAGGAUAAACUGGGUGCCCGAGGCUGUUCGGAGACAUGGCCAGAGACACUUAUGUAUCUGUGAUAAACAGAGAAUAUUAGGGUAACCCUGUAAUUCAUGAAUCAUAUGCUGUCUUCCCUGUUCCUCUCUUCUUACGACUUUGUCUCUCUCAUACCUCUCCCCAACUUCCUUUUCAUCUGUUUUUAUAGUGGCCGCCAGAUGUGGCCGCCAGAUGUGCAUUGAAGUACAGAUUGAACAUUUUUAUUUAGCAUAUAUUACAUUUAUAAUGCAUGUAUUUAUAACACUUGGAUAAUGAACUUUCAGUAAAGCGUUUCACGUUCUCUACUGGUUGAAAUGAAGUCUCGUUUGAUGACCAACUACACCUAUCCUGUGUUUAUCAGAUCAAUGCAGAAGAAGUGUUUGCUAUUGAGAUGAACUAGUUGUAUAGUAGUUACAUGAUGCAAAGGAAGUGUAGUGUACUGUUUUUAAAUCAAAUUUAAAAAAUCUGUUUCUGUAUAUAUGAAUUAUAAAUCCACCUUUAACUAAA